CGCCCACCCUCCUUCGCCCCGCCCACCUACCGCGGGGACAGCCCGCUCGGCAGAGGGCGCUGCCGCAAGGCACGUCGGGCCUCAGAGAGGCAUAAAAACAUAGUUUAUGCUGACAAACCUCUAAGUAUGCCGGUGAAAACUAUGAUGCAGUCACCCAUCACGAGGAUGAAGCUUACAGAAGCAAGUUGAUAGAUUUAUUUGCUGAUCACUCAAGAAAAGGAAGGAAUGAACUGUGUCAUCCUGCUUGCAUUUUUACAGAAGGCAUUUGCUCAUGCAGAAAGACGAUCGGCAUUACACCAAGGAUUUUCUUGUGGUCUUUACUUUUGUGAGUCAGCUUUUAUUAUUGUUCAGUACUGAUGUUGAGCAAUGCAAAUGCAAAACAGAAAGAGCUUUGCGGUAAAGAUAUUGCUGUUUUCUCAAAGUACAAAGGUGUCUGUCGGCCUGCAGCCCUGAUGUUUUCUCCUCCGACCUGCCUCAAUAAUGCAAACUAGCAGCAGUGUAAUUUGUUCUCCUGAGACCGUAAUCUUCAUUUACCUGCUAUCAAGGUACUCUACCUGACUAUAUUUAGAUUUCUUUUGAAUGUUAUCUCAAGAGUCUAGAGCAGAUUAUAGUACAUCAUCAUCUCUUUUUAUGUGCACAAAGGCUGUGGGAGGGAGAGGUAGUGGUUUGCCAAAAUCCAUGCAAAUCAGCUGCAUCUCCCGUGUCCAGACUAGCCAGUGCACCACAAUGUCUCUGCAGGGCAAUUAGUGAAUUCCCAUCUCUGGUUUCUGUCCCUCUCUUUGGACUUUCUCUGUAGAAGCUGGGUGCAUUCAAACAAUCUCCCCCUCCAUUGAUCUUGCAUUAGGAACAGCUAUUUUCAUUUAAACAGCUGCGGGGAGUCUGGAACAUUGACCUAAAAGGAAGUCAAAUUUAUUUGAGGCUGAUUUUAUUCUCAUGCUUUAUUGUCCCAUAGAAUAUUAAGUGGAAGGGAUACAUGCAGGCAUGCAUGCACACACA